UCGACCCCAGCUCAGUGGUAGAGCGCGGCAUUGGUAUUUAUGGUCGUGUGUUCGAUUCAGUCGGGUCGGA